GCAUAUCAAUAAGCGGAGGAAAAGAAACUAACAAGGAUUCCCCUAGUAACGGCGAGUGAAGCGGGAAGAGCUCAAAUUUGUAAUCUGGCACUUUCGGUGUCCGAGUUGUAAUCUCGAGAAGUGUUUUCCGCGCCGGACCGCAUACAAGUCUGUUGGAAUACAGCGUCAUAGUGGUGAGAACCCCGUAACUGAUGCGGAUGCCCGGUGCUUUGUGAUACACUUUCGAAGAGUCGAGUUGUUUGGGAAUGCAGCUCAAAUUGGGUGGUAAAUUCCAUCUAAAGCUAAAUAUUGGCGAGAGACCGAUAGCGAACAAGUACCGUGAGGGAAAGAUGAAAAGCACUUUGGAAAGAGAGUUAACAGUACGUGAAAUUGUUGGAAGGGAAACGCUUGAAGUCAGACUUGCUAUUUGGAAUUCAGCCGCAAGGUGUACUUUUCAAUUCGCAGGCCAGCAUCAGUUUUCGGGGGUGGAAAAGGGUAGAGAGAAGGUAGCAAUUUCGGUUGUGUUAUAGCUCUUUGCUGGAUUCAUCCUUGGGGACUGAGGAACGCAGCACGCUUUUUGCAAGGCUUUCGAGCUUUUCGUGCUUAGGAUGCUGGUGGAAUGGCUUUAAACGACCCGUCUUGAAACACGGACCAAGGAGUCUAACAUGCUUGCGAGUGUUUGGGUGUCAAACCCGGACGCGCAAUGAAAGUGAAUGGAGGUGGGAAGCGCAAGCUGCACCAUCGACCGAUCUGGAUUUUUUAAGAUGGAUUUGAGUAAGAGCAAUUAUGUUGGGACCCGAAAGAUAGUGAACUAUGCCUGAAUAGGGCGAAGCCAGAGGAAACUCUGGUGGAGGCUCGUAGCGGUUCUGACGUGCAAAUCGAUCGUC
rnacentral:rRNA from 1 species